UACAGAGGGUGCGAGCGUUGUCCGGAAUCACUGGGCGUAAAGGGCGCGUAGGCGGCUUGAUAAGCGUGCGGUGAAAGCCCGGGGCUCAACCCCGGGUCGGCCGUGCGAACUGUCGAGCUGGAGCACUGUAGAGGCAGGUGGAAUUCCGGGUGUAGCGGUGGAAUGCGUAGAGAUCCGGAAGAACACCGGUGGCGAAGGCGGCCUGCUGGGCAGUGGCUGACGCUGAUGCGCGAAAGCUAGGGGAGCAAACAGG
rnacentral:rRNA from 1 species